UACGGAGGGUGCGAGCGUUGUCCGGAAUCACUGGGCGUAAAGGGCGCGUAGGCGGUCUGCUAAGCGUGCGGUGAAAGCCUGGGGCUCAACCCCAGGUCUGCCGUGCGAACUGGUGGACUGGAGCACUGUAGAGGCAGGUGGAAUUCCGGGUGUAGCGGUGGAAUGCGUAGAGAUGCGGAGGAACACCGAUGGCGAAGGCAGCCCCCUGGGCUGACACUGACGCUCAGGCACGAAAGCGUGGGGAGCAAACAGG
rnacentral:rRNA from 1 species